rnacentral:rRNA from 1 species
GCGAUAUGGGCGCAGCCUGAUCCAGCCAUGCCGCGUGGGUGAAGAAGGCCUUCGGGUUGUAAAGCCCUUUUGUUGGGAAAGAAAAGCAGCCGGUUAAUACCCGGUUGUUCUGACGGUACCCAAAGAAUAAGCACCGGCUAACUUCGUGCCAGCAGCCGCGGUAAUACGAAGGGUGCAAGCGUUACUCGGAAUUACUGGGCGUAAAGCGUGCGUAGGUGGUUUGUUAAGUCUGAUGUGAAAGCCCUGGGCUCAACCUGGGAAUUGCAUUGGAUACUGGCAGGCUAGAGUGCGGUAGAGGGUAGUGGAAUUCCCGGUGUAGCAGUGAAAUGCGUAGAGAUCGGGAGGAACAUCCGUGGCGAAGGCGACUACCUGGACCAGCACUGACACUGAGGCACGAAAGCGUGGGGAGCAAACAGGAUUAGAUACCCUGGUAGUCCACGCCCUAAACGAUGCGAACUGGAUGUUGGGUUCAACUAGGAACUCAGUAUCGAAGCUAACGCGUUAAGUUCGCCGCCUGGGGAGUACGGUCGCAAGACUGAAACUCAAAGAAAAUUGACGGA